CCUUUACUUUCUAGCCCUCUAAUGAUGGCUAUCCCUUCUUUCUCCAACAAGGCAGAGAUGGUUCUAUGAAUACCAAAUAAAUCAGUAGCCAUUCCUGAGAAGUUAGAACGAAAAGUCAGAUCGGUCACCAUAUUGUCUGCAAGAGGACGAGGGAAAACAGCCGGUACUGGAUACUGGACCAGCACAGGGUUGCGAGAAGCAAACAUAGAGCGAUUCACAUGAAGACUCACUCACCUGAAAAUCGGCGACUCAUGCUGCACCUGCUUAUCUCGCAUCUUUGCUCUCCUUUGGUUACAGCUCAUGAACACUUGGAAUCUCCAUAUAUCAGCAAGGUACUGAACGGGAUGCAGCUUGCAUAAAUCUCUCUUCAGCACCCAUUACUCAUUGCACUUCUGUGGAUAGCCCGCCCGAGCUACGGGAGAAUUCUGCAGAAGACGAUUUGGAGUUUGGAUGUGGCAGCAAGACUCUCUAUCCUCAUGGUUCUGAAGCAAACAUCAUCCUUUUGUAGGAACAGCAGUAGCCAAGCCAACCAAAAGGAAAGAAAAGGUAGUAAUGCAAAGGUCGACAGGCUGUGUGAUGGCUAAGCAGGAUGCAAGGGCAACAAGGCAAAAGUUCAGGAUUUGAGAUCGUUGGCAGGAGGUACAAGUAUUUGUUUAACAGGCUGAAGGAAGGAUCAGGGAAGUGCAGCAACCAAUGGGAAGGCCAAAUCUUGCUGGUUUAAUGAAACAACCUGUCCAACCUACAUGUGAAGCAGAUAUCUCACGCAGGUCUUGCCGGGACAAAAGAUAUCAAGGUUUUGAACUUGGCUGCCUCUCUCUCUCUCUCUGAGAUAGAUAAGUAAGGGCAGACAUAUCUUCACAUGUUUGCAGUUUAUAGUCGAGAUCUGCAGAUACCAUGGGCCCACGGCAAUGAGUUAUCCUAGGGCGUCCUUCGCAGUCGUCACGGUCCCAGUUCUGGGAUCUGGCCACAGCCUCAGAAAAGUAAACUGCCGUUUGAGCUUCCAUCAGUUCAAUUUGUUGAGUUGUUCUCCUCUAUACCCCAUGCUACGGGUGCCUCAUAUCAGACAACCAAAUAUCUAACAUGGAAAGGAACUUUGCAACGUCAUGGACUCAUGGCCAUCCACGUACCAUUCGGAGACAAGCAGCAUCAACCCACACUAUAUCUGGAUAACUUCGAGAACAAUCGACUGGCUGUGGUUGCACUCUCGGAGCAGAUAUUCGAUAGUUCCUUUCAAGAAAGGCCAGACAACCGGGUAGACAACUUGCCCAUAAAGCAGAUAUGCUCAUGGAUGGAGGUGGCUGAUACUGAUAAAGAAGGAGAGGAUCAAGCGUAGAUCAGAGGAUCCCAAAUAAGGAGCAGCAGCAGCCAAAAUAAUGCAAAGCGACCGUCGCGCUCGCCUCCAAGGCCCGACAGGCUACCUGCCGCGGAUCCUUUUUCAUCGCUGUCUUGCAUCCGGGCGCUUGGUGGCCAGCCAGCGCAAACAACAUCGAACUGGCUGGCUCACAUGGACCACACCGUGGCUAUGCAGUCCAUUGUUCACAUAUGCGUCUUUGGAUGCGUCCGGAUCUCAGCAUAGAUUAUUGGUGCCUUCUUCUUGCCACGCGAUAUGUGUUCUCCACAGCGAUAUACUCAUGGAGGAAAGUCACUUUUGGGACGCUUUUCUCUGGACAAUUUGCUAGCUCUUCUGGUGGAUUGUAAAGUAGUUGAAGGAUGAAGCAUGGUGAUACUGAUAUCUAAUUUGUGAGAUUAACUCCGGGAAUAAAUGUACUUCGUGUAACCUUUUCUCCAAAAAAAAUUAAGAGCAUGAAUGAUUUGACGAGCUGA